GAUGAACGCUGGCGGCGUGCCUAAUACAUGCAAGUCGAGCGGAGAGGCCCUUCGGGGUACUCGAGCGGCGGACGGCUGAGUAACGCGUAGGAACGUACCCCAAAGUGAGGGAUAACUGCUCGAAAGAGUAGCUAAUACCGCAUGCGCUCUUCGGAGUAAAGCUUCGGCGCUUUGGGAACGGCCUGCGUCCUAUUAGCUAGUUGGUGAGGUAAUUGCUCACCAAGGCGACGAUAGGUAGCUGGUCUGAGAGGAUGAUCAGCCAGACUGGGACUGAGACACGGCCCAGACUCCUACGGGAGGCAGCAGUAGGGAAUUUUCCACAAUGGGCGAAAGCCUGAUGGAGCAACGCCGCGUGCAGGAUGAAUGCCUUCGGGUUGUAAACUGCUUUUAUAGGUGAAGAAUAUGACGGUAACCUAUGAAUAAGGAUCGGCUAACUCCGUGCCAGCAGCCGCAGUAA
rnacentral:rRNA from 1 species